UACGGGGGGGGCGAGCGUUGUUCGGAAUUAUUGGGCGUAAAGGGCGCGUAGGCGGUGUGGUAAGUCUGUUGUGAAACCUCCAGGCUCAACUUGGAGCUUGCAUCAGAAACUGCCGUGCUAGAGUGUGGGAGAGGAGAGUGGAAUUCCUGGUGUAGCGGUGAAAUGCGUAGAUAUCGGGAGGAACACCUGAGGCGAAGGCGGGUUACUGGGCUGAUACUGACGCUGAUGCGCGAAAGCCAGGGGAGCAAACGGG
rnacentral:rRNA from 1 species